UGCUAUAAGAACCUCAUUAAGAACAGUGAGGAAAUAUGUUCCUCGAAGCUUGGCAGUGCCACAAUAUUUAUUGCUGUUACAGUAAAUUAUUAGGAGCAAAUCUCUUCAGUGGUAUACUGAAGGCCCAUGCUUAUUUAGAGAAAAUGAGAGACAUGAAGCAUCUAAGAAGACAGGAAAUAAAAGAAAUGGUGCUUGAAGACGGUGCUUCCCAUUCUUCCUGAUGGAAGGAUAUGCAUAGAAAAUGAUACCAUUGGCAUGAGACACAAAAGUUAGUUGACAAGGCUGCUCGAGGUAAAAGGUUUUCAGGCCAGGUGACUCUGGAAGCCAAAGGCCUACCAUUUAACAGUGACGAAAACGAGUACGGCAGCACAUCCAAAUCCCUUGCUGCCUGGAGGACUGCAGUGGCACACUGAUUAGGCAGCUAAGCCCGCAGGUUAUUUCAGGGGUACCACUACUCAUCUUGACAGAAAACAUUCACUGGGGACGUGAUUUAGUUGGAAGGUUAGUUCAUGUUUGUUUUCAAAUUUAUUCUUCUAUAAUUGUUUGUAAUAGUCCUUUUCAUGAUUCUUUUUUUAUAAUCAGCAGUCUCCCUCACUGCCCUCCCUCCCCAGGCUUUUACAUCAAUAUUCUAUUUGUGCUUUUCUCUAUUUUUCUUUAUUCAUCUUGCCAGAAUGUUAAUAGAAUUAAUUGUUUCAAAUAUUCAGCUUUUUGUUUGUUUAAUAUUCUAUAGCAUGUGUUGUGUUCACUGUUUCAUUGAUUUCUGCAAUUUUAUUGUUUCAUUUAUUUUCUCCUUGGAUUUAUUCUGUGCUCUUUAAAAUAAUUUUUGACUUGAAAGCAUUGCUAAUUUUAAAAAGUCAUUAAGGUAUAACAUACAUGUAGUAAACUGCUUUUCUUAAUGUACAUUUCUUCAAGUUUUGAUAAAUGCGUAUAGUUGUGCAACUACCACCGCAAUCAUGAUAUAGAAUAGUUCCAU